rnacentral:lncRNA from 1 species
GAGCCUAGGGCUCGAGUGCAGACAGUUCGCAGGUUUGAGGGUCGUGUUCAGAGAAGGGGGUGCAGUCCCUUUAAACUGUAGAUCUGGGAAAAGAAGAAGACGGUAGAGAGUUGUGAUAAGAAAGCAAGCACCUGGUUUAAUUAACAGCCGCCAUUGAAGAAAGAAAAGAAGCAAGCCACAGCCAGACCAGGUGAUUUGAUUUUCUGAAGAAAAAAAAAGGGAAAGUCAGCAAGGAGCACAACAAGCAUAGUGGUCGAUCAAGAAGACAUCGAUCAAAGAAGGUAUAUGUUGUGAAAUUGCCAUCAUGAAGUGAGUACGGUGGGAUUCGAGUGACCGACGCCGGAGUAGAAGAACCGGCAUGAAGAGUCGAAGAGAAGUAAGAGACCGCGCCAGAGAACCGUGAUCAGAAAGCGAGUUCUGGCGUUAGACCGAAAGACGAGCCGCAAAAGAUCGGGGGGCAGCUAGACCGAGAGAAUGAAAGAAAGCAGCAAGGGUAGUAAUUUCUGGUCGAUUAGAUCAGCGGGAAAGAGAAGGUGAAAGGUUCACCAAAGAGAAAGAAGGUGUUGCCGGAAAAGAAGAAAGGAAGCUCUCCGGUAAGAAAAUGUUGCUGGGCAGAAAGAAUCGAUCACUGACUAUAGCAAGAUUGGAAGAACAUAGCAAGAAUGCAAGAGUAAGAAAGUAAGCAAGAAAGAAUGAGAAAGUAAUUGGCGGUGCAAGAAAGAAGAAAGAGCCGUCACAAGAAAGAAAGAAAGAAAGAUCGGUAGUCGAUGAGAAAGAAGAAAGAAAACCCGACAACCGAAAGAAAGAAAGAAAGACACGGACACGUUAGUUCGUAAAGAAAGAGAAAGACCGAACCGUAUGGGUUCGAAUAACAAGUUAGUAAGAAAGAUGAUUCGAAGCAAGCAAGUAAGAACAUAUUCGAAUCCAACAAGAAAGUAGCAAGUUUAGCAAGAUAACCGUUUCCGGUUAAAGCAAGAAAAGAAAGAACGAACGCAAGCAAGAACGAAGCAAGUAGAAAGAACCAAAUCAAGAUUACGGGGGUGAAUGUUGGGUAAUCUUGAUAUUGCGGGUUAUUUACGGGUCAUGUUCGGAUCGAGUACGGGUCAAGUAAUGGGUUCAAGGUUAUCCGGUCACAUGCUAUGGGUCUUGGAGUCAAUGUAGCAAGCAAGAUUUGACCGAGUUUCAGUGGUAACGUGGUGAGAAAUAAGUUGGAAUCAUUGCUAUAAAUCAGGAAGAAGUGGACUGAGUUAUUUUGCAUGUGCUAGUAUUUCUUUAUUAUAAAUAAUGGGGUAGUAGAAGUUCUGUGUACCCACUUUCAUAUUAAUAAAAGCAGAGAGUUAGAAAGU